CGGAGGUCGGCCGGAAAUCUCGCCGGAGGUCGGUCGGAAAUCUCGCCGGAGGUCGGCCGGAAACUUUUGUAGUAGCUUUUGUAGGCGGUGGUAGUAGCUUUUAUAGCUGGUGGUAGUAGCUUUUUUAGCUGGUAGUAGUAAUUUUUGUCAUCGUCGGAGAUCGGCCGGAAACCUCACCGGAGGUCAGUCGGAAAUCUCGCCGGAGGUCGGCCGGAAACUUCGCCGGAAACCUCUCCGGAGGUCGGCCGGAAACCUCGCCGGAGGUCCGCUGGAAAUCUCGCCAGAGAUCCGCCGGAGUCUGUUCCGAAAUGAGAAUGGUUGUUGACUUUUUAUACUAGUGGCAUUCUUGUAAAUAUAAAGGAGAAAAUCUAAUUUUUUUGUUGGAUGGCGGUCUGUAAUUAUGUUCAACUUUAAUACUUAAUACAAAACUUUAUUUAGACUUGGGUGAACUUAUGUGGGUAAAAAUGUUGGGGUGGAUCUAUGUGGGAAAAAAUGUCUCAAAGUGGACUUAUAUGUAAUUGGCCCUUGAAUCUUUGUAACAAACUCUUUUUUUUUUUAAUAAACAAACUUCUUUUUUACUUAUAUAUGGAUAAUACUUGCGUCCAGACUGAUAUUUACGUGUAUGUCUGGAAGCUCUCUUAUUUACAUACUUUUGUCAAUAUGAAUCAUAAUCUUAAUCGUUCAAACAAUGAAUUAACCAGUAAAGAUCACCAAUGAAAAAAAAUAUUGUUUGCUCAGCCGAAUGUAUCAAACAAAUGGAUGGUUGAUCAUGAGAUUGUUAACUUUCAUCACAGCUGUCUAUUUGUUUAAUGCAAUCGGUUGAGGAAACAAUUUUUUGUAUAUUGAUUUUUUGCAUAGGUGAUCUAUAUUUGUUAAUUCAACUUUGAGCGGUUAAGAUUAUGAUUUACAUUGUCAAAAGUAUGUAAACAAGAGAGAAUCUGGAUACACACGUACAUACUAGUCUGAACCCAAGUAUUUUCAUUUACAUAUAUAUAAUUUCACACUUAUAAUGUUAACCACAUGACUAUUGAGUGUCAUGGCUAAACCGAU
rnacentral:lncRNA from 1 species